UGGGGAAUAUUGCACAAUGGCCGCAAGCCUGACGCAGCCAUGCCGGUUGUAUGUAGAAGGCCUUCGGGUUUUAAAGUAUUUUCAGCGGGGAGGAAGGGAGUAAAGUUAAUACCUUUGCUCAUUGACGUUACCCGCAGAAGAAGCACCGGCUAACUCCGUGCCAGCAGCCGCGGUAAUACGGAGGGUGCAAGCGGUAAUCGGAAUUACUGGGCGUAAAGCGCACGCAGGCGGUUUGUUAAGUCAGAUGUGGAAUCCCCGGGCUCAACCUGGGAACUGCAUCUGAUAAUGGCAAGCUUGAGUCUCGUAGAGGGGGGUAGAAUUCCAGGUGUAGCGGUGAAAUGCGUAGAGAUCUGGAGGAAUACCGGUGGCGAAGGCGGCCCCCUGGACGAAGACUGACGCUCAGGUGGGGAAGCGUGGGGGGCAAACAGG
rnacentral:rRNA from 1 species